UCUGCGGCCAUAAACAAAAGGGAUAGGUCAAUGCGACGAUGAUUGGGUACCUUCGAAUGACACCGAUAUCGAGCAAGACAAAAAUCGAAAGAAGUUCGGCAAACGACAACUCAACACAUGAGUAGAAGAGGUAAUGGAAAUUUUUUUUUUCAUUUCAUUAACUAAGUAUGCAUUACAAAGUCCUUAAGGCCGAAAAAGAAAGAUGACAAGAAAAGCAAGCCAACGUG
rnacentral:lncRNA from 1 species